rnacentral:rRNA from 1 species
CAACCUGCCGUCUACUCUUGGACAGCCUUCUGAAAGGAAGAUUAAUACAAGAUGGCAUCAUGAGUCCGCAUGUUCACAUGAUUAAAGGUAUUCCGGUAGACGAUGGGGAUGCGUUCCAUUAGAUAGUAGGCGGGGUAACGGCCCACCUAGUCUUCGAUGGAUAGGGGUUCUGAGAGGAAGGUCCCCCACAUUGGAACUGAGACACGGUCCAAACUCCUACGGGAGGCAGCAGUGAGGAAUAUUGGUCAAUGGGCGAGAGCCUGAACCAGCCAAGUAGCGUGAAGGAUGACUGCCCUAUGGGUUGUAAACUUCUUUUAUAAAGGAAUAAAGUCGGGUAUGUAUACCCGUUUGCAUGUACUUUAUGAAUAAGGAUCGGCUAACUCCGUGCCAGCAGCCGCGGUAAUACGGAGGAUCCGAGCGUUAUCCGGAUUUAUUGGGUUUAAAGGGAGCGUAGAUGGAUGUUUAAGUCAGUUGUGAAAGUUUGCGGCUCAACCGUAAAAUUGCAGUUGAUACUGGAUAUCUUGAGUGCAGUUGAGGCAGGCGGAAUUUGUGGUGUAGCGGUGAAAUGCUUAGAUAUCACGAAGAACUCCGAUUG